CAGUAUCAGUAGAGGAAGGUGCAAACUUGUAUUUUGAUGCUGCCCCUUUGAAGUUUUGAUUCUCAAAUAUUUGAGCAAAUAUAAGUCAAUUUGCUUUUCUUCUGUGUCUUUGUUUGAAAUGAUAAAAUCAUUUUUAUGUUUAUAUGAUUUAAUCAAGUUGCCACAUUUGGGUAAGGUUAUGUGUUUGAAGGAAGAUCCAUUUUAAACUUUGGA
rnacentral:lncRNA from 1 species